rnacentral:lncRNA from 1 species
GGCGAAUGUGGGGGCGGCUCCCAACAGUCACCCAUCCAUUAGUGGCUCAUGUGUUCUUAAGACAAACUCAGCAGGCUGUACCUGUCCAGAUUUCUGCUAAAGCCCUGUGGAUGAAGAGCCUGCUAACUCCAAAGAGAUGGACCCCAGUCCUACUCUUAGAGUCCCCACUGCAGAGGUCCAGGUGAAACCAGAGCUUCUGCCUGCAUGGAACAAGAGCAAGAGAAAGAGUUCACUGAAGGACAGCCUUGCAGAACAUGGGGAGAAUCAUCAGGCAGGUGACUCCAGGCCUGUGCACACAGGAGGUAGGCGACAAGUGGAUCACACUUGCUGCCCUUCAGGAGUGCAGAGACUACCCGCAGGAUUAAACAGGAUCUCAGAGUUUUCGGGAAAGCUGCGGACCCAAGUCUGGUCCUAAUAAUGCUGAAUGUAGAACCCACGGCCGCUCCCUUUAUCCAAGGGCUGGCUUUGCCCAUAGCUGUCUAGAGUCUUCCAUCCUCCGUAGUUACAGCAGGUCUGGCCAUAAAUCCUGAGUGGGAAGCUCAGAAUAUGGGCAGGUUUGCCUAGAGAUACCAGACCAUCCCCGCAUCUUCUAAAGAGUCUGAGGAAUGGGGUACUGGGGUAGGAAUGGGGCUGGAACCCGACAGGUCAUGAGAGAAGCACAGAGUAACACUUUGCCUGGUUCCUGGCACAGAUGGGACAUUUGACAAGUGGCAGUAUAUAUAUUUUUUCUUGCUUCAGCUUUGACAGUUCUGGAUUUGAUGGUGAAUAAAUUUCUGAGCUUCUGUUUCCUCUGUAA